AAGACCUUGCGCUUUUGGAGCGGCCGAUGUCUGAUUAGCUUGUUGGUGAGGUAAAGGCUUACCAAGGCUUCGAUCAGUAGCUGGUCUGAGAGGACGGCCAGCCACACUGGGACUGAGACACGGCCCAGACUCCUACGGGAGGCAGCAGUGGGGAAUUUUGGACAAUGGGGGCAACCCUGAUCCAGCCAUGCCGCGUGAGUGAAGAAGGCCUUCGGGUUGUAAAGCUCUUUCAGCCGGAACGAAACGGUUACGGUUAAUACCCAUGACUACUGACGGUACCGGAAGAAGAAGCACCGGCUAACUACGUGCCAGCAGCCGCGGUAAUACGUAGGGUGCGAGCGUUAAUCGGAAUUACUGGGCGUAAAGCGUGCGCAGGUGGUUUUGUAAGUCAGAUGUGAAAGCCCCGGGCUCAACCUGGGAACU
rnacentral:rRNA from 1 species